rnacentral:rRNA from 1 species
AGCAGUGGGGAAGUUUUCCGUCAAUGGGCGAAAGCCUGACGGAGCAAUGCCGCGUGGAGGUGGAAGGCCUACGGGUCGUCAACUUCUUUUCUCGGAGAAGAAACAAUGACGGUAUCUGAGGAAUAAGCAUCGGCUAACUCUGUGCCAG